rnacentral:rRNA from 1 species
UACGGAGGGUGCGAGCGUUGUCCGGAAUCACUGGGCGUAAAGGGCGCGUAGGUGGCCUGUGGAAGUCUGCGGUGAAAGCCCGGCGCUCAACGCCGGGUCGGCCGUGGAUACUCUCGGGCUUGAGCUUACUAGAGGCAGAUGGAAUUCCGGGUGUAGCGGUGGAAUGCGCAGAUAUCAGGAGGAACACCUAUUGCGAAGGCAGCUCGCUGGGACGUAACUGACGCUGAGACGCGAAAGCGUGGGGAGCAAACAGG